GUGCUCGCUUCAGCAGCACAUAUACUAAUGUUGGAACAACACAGAAAAGAUCAGCAUGGCCCCUGACCAAGGAAGACAUGCCGAUUUGUGAAGCGUUCUGUAUUUGU